rnacentral:rRNA from 1 species
GUAGGGAAUAUUGCGCAAUGGACGAAAGUCUGACGCAGCGACGCCGCGUGAGUGAUGAAGGCCUUAGGGUCGUAAAGCUCUGUUGAAUGGGAAGAAAAAAAUGACGGUACCAUUCGAGGAAGGACCGGCUAACUUCGUGCCAGCAGCCGCGGUAAUACGAGGGGUCCUAGCGUUGUUCGGAAUCAUUGGGCGUAAAGGGUGUGUAGGUGGCCAUGUAAGUCAGGUGUGAAAGCCCCGGGCUCAACCCGGGAAGUGCACUUGAUACUGCGUGGCUUGAGUACCGAAGAGGGUAGUGGAAUUCCAGGUGUAGUGGUGAAAUACGUAGAUAUCUGGAGGAACACCGGUGGCGAAGGCGGCUACCUGGUCGAGUACUGACACUGAGACACGAAAGCAUGGGGAUCAAACAGGAUUAGAAACCCCAGUAGUCC